rnacentral:rRNA from 1 species
UACGAAGGGGGCUAGCGUUGCUCGGAAUCACUGGGCGUAAAGCGCACGUAGGCGGCGUCUUAAGUCAGGGGUGAAAUCCUGGAGCUCAACUCCAGAACUGCCUUUGAUACUGAGAUGCUUGAGUCCGGGAGAGGUGAGUGGAACUGCGAGUGUAGAGGUGAAAUUCGUAGAUAUCGCUUGGAACGCCGAAGGUGAAAACAGGUUGCUGGGGAUGUGCCGACGCUGAGACACGAAAGCCAGGGGAGCAAACGGG